rnacentral:rRNA from 1 species
UACGUAGGGGGGCAAGCGUUGUCCGGAUUUAUUGGGCGUAAAGAGCGUGUAGGCGCCAGACAGGUCCGUUGUGAAAACUCGAGGCUCAACCUCGAGAUGUCGAUGGAAACCGUCUGGCUAGAGUCCGGAAGAGGAGUGUGGAAUUCCUGGUGUAGCGGUGAAAUGCGCAGAUAUCAGGAAGAACACCUAUGGCGAAGGCAGCACUCUGGGACGGUACUGACGCUGAGACGCGAAAGCGUGGGGAGCGAACAGG